AUGAAGAUCCGGCGCAGCUAAAGUCAGUGGAAGGUAGAAAGACGCCACAGCCGCCUUUCGACAACUUUUUGUUACAAAAGUGGAGAUCUACACGGAGGCGACGGCCUAGGUCGCUCUGACAGGACCCAACGACCCUCCUGACGCGUCCACCCGUCCUCGCUAGCAGGGUCCCCCAGCGGGCUCUCGACCUGCGCCACCAGAGUUCCACUCUUUUUGUCGACAAUAAUAUGGCGCCCAAACACGUGGGGCCUCAGAGAAGACUCUGGAUCCGGAAGGAGUAUCCCAAAACCAGAGCUAAGGUACCAGCUGGAGCCCACUGAAGCCUCACCGAGUUUGGGCUUCUCCUCCUGUGGAACUGGAAACCAAAAUCAUGGUAUUUUGAAAACCAGAGGUAUGAAUCUCCCUCGUUUGGCAUCCCACUGGGCCUGGACCUGUUUCACUGCUAAUGUUCUGCUGCCAAAACUAUACAAGCUGCCUGGACUAUUGCAGAAGAGAGACAGAGUCUUGCUCUGUUGCCCAGAAUGGAAUGCAGUAGCACAAUCCUAACUAAUCGUAACCUUGAACUCCUGGGUUCAAGCGAUCCUCCUGCCUCAGCCUCCUCAGUAUAGGACUACAGGCGUGCCCAGGUAAGGCUGGCUUCUUUUACUCUAUUACGUUUUUUUUUUUAGUUUUGUCUGCUCAUCAUUUGUCUGUUUCCCCUUUCUAUUUUCCUUUGGGUUAUUUGAACACCUUUAAUAUUUCAUUUAAUUUAUUAUUACUACUUUUGACAUAUAUUUUUAUAUAAUUUUAUGGCAUGUCUGUUGGCAACAACUUCUUCAUUUUCUUUCAUUUAGCAAUGUUUUUAUUUCAUCUUCAUUCUUGAUGGAUAUUUUCACUGGAUAAAGAAUUCUGGACUGAUAGCUUUUUUAUUUCAGUGCUUUAAAAAUGUUUUUCCACUUCACUCUGGUUUCUACAAUCUCUGAUGAGAAAUUCUCAGUCAUUUGAAUAGUUGUUUUCCUACAAGCAGGGUUUUUCAGCCUUAGCAGCACUGAUAUUUGGGGCCAGAAAUUCUUGUGGGAGGCUUUCUUGUACAAUGCAGGAAACUUAGAGGCAUUCAUUGCUUCUGCCCACUAGAUGUCAGUAGCACCUAUCCCCGGCCAUCACAAUAAAACAUGUCUCUAGACUUUGCUAGAUGUCCCUGGGUUGUUUCAGAAGACAAAAUCAGACCCGUUGAGAAUCACUGCUACAGAGGUAAUGUGUCCAUUUUCUUUGGCUACUUUAAACAUUAUUUUUUCUUUUUAGUUUUUAGCAGUUUGAUUGUGAUGUGUCUGUAUAUAGAUUAUUUUGGUUUCUCUUGUUUGGGGUUACUGAGCUUUUUAAAAUUUUUCUUGUUUCCUGUCAAACUUAGAAAAUAUUCGCACAUUAUUUAAAAGAAAAAUUUUUUGCACAUCGUAUUUUCUUUUCUCAUUCUGAGACCUCAAUGCGUGUUAAAAGUUUUGUUACUAUCUUGCAAGUUCCUGAAUCUCUUUUUAUUCUCACUUUUUUUUUUUUCUGUUGUUCAGAUUGGAUAAUUUCUAUUCAUCUGUCUUCAAGCUCAUAGGUUUUUUGCUCUGAAAUCUGCAUUCUGCCUUCAAGGCCAUUCAGUGAGUUUUUACAUUUCAGUUAUUGUAUUUACUGUUUUAAAAUUUUCAUUUAGUUCUUUAUAUCUAAAAUUUAUUACUGAUAUUUUUAAUGUAUCCAUUUAUUUCAAGGGUUUGAAAUCCUUAAUUCCAUUUAUUUAUUUAUUUAUUUAGAGAUGGAAUAUCGCUCUGUCCCCCAGGCUGGAGUGCAGUGGUGCGAUCUCGGCUCAUCGCAACCUCCACCUCCUGGGUUCAAGUGAUUCUUCUGUCUCAGCCUCCCGAGUAGCUGGGACUACAGGCAUGCACCACCAGGCCUGGCUCAUUUUUGUUUUUUAAGUAGAGAUGGGGUUUCACUAUGUUGACCAGGCUGGUCUCAAACUCCUCACCUCAAGUGAUAUGCCUCCCUCAGCCUCCCAAAGUGCUGGAAUUAUGGGCAUGAGCCACUGCUCCUGGCCCUUGAAGUCCUUCAUUCUUAGAGCAUUUUUCUAAAGCAAAUUUGAAGUCUUUUUCCUGAUAAUUCUAACAUUUUGUCACCUAGACAUUGGUUUCUGUUAAUUGCCUUUUUCAUGCGAGUCGUGAUUUUCCUGGCUGUGGGUAUGCUAAGUGAUCUUGGCUUGUUUCUUGGAAAUUUUAAACAUGAUAUGAAACUUGUUUUUUUUGUGAUUUGUAUGUAUUUUUUUUUUUCAAUUUUUUCAUAGAAAUGGGAUCUCCCUUUGUUGCCCAGGCUGCCCUCAAGCCCCUGGGCUCAAGGGAUCCUCCUUUUGCAGCCUCUCAAAGUGCUAGUAUUAUAUGCAUGAGCCACUGUGCUUAGCUUGGUAUUUUUGUUUUAGUAUACAAUUUACCCAGUUGUAUUCAGGUCAUACAUUUUAACCUGCUUUUUGUGAGUUUUGGUUUCAGUGUCAGUUAUGUUUUCAAAGCAUUUGUAGUGCUACUCCUAUGUGUUCCAUGUGUGCACCAGUAAAUGGCUAGAUGGGACUUUGGCACUUAUCUAUUCUUUAGUUUAGAUCUUAAUGUCUUUGAUAUGCUAUUUAGUGUCAGAUCUAUACAUGCACAGCUUACUACUUUAUGAGGUUGCUUUCCUGAGCUCUUUCCUCUCUAUGAUCUCUCCAGCCCUUUCUGGUUCCCUUAGGUUUCUCUUAUCUGUCCUCUGGCCAGAAAGCCAGGUUUUAUUUAUCUUCCUUUAGCUUCACACUUCCCAUGAG
ensembl:lncRNA novel transcript, antisense to SVIP